rnacentral:miRNA from 13 species
GGGGGGCAGGAGUGGCUCAGGG